UACGGGGGGGGCAAGCGUUGUUCGGAAUUACUGGGCGUAAAGGGCUCGUAGGCGGCCAACUAAGUCAGACGUGAAAUCCCUCGGCUUAACCGGGGAACUGCAUCUGAUACUGGAUGGCUUGAGUUCGGGAGAGGGAUGCGGAAUUCCAGGUGUAGCGGUGAAAUGCGUAGAUAUCUGGAGGAACACCGGUGGCGAAGGCGGCAUCCUGGACCGGCACUGACGCUGAGGAGCGAAAGCCAGGGGAGCGAACGGG
rnacentral:rRNA from 1 species